rnacentral:rRNA from 1 species
AAGUUGUCUACCGAAGCAGUGGGAUCAUUGAUAUGAUCGGUAGGGGAGCAUUCCAGUCAGCGUCGAAGGCGUACCGUGAGGUAUUCUGGAGCGUCUGGAAAAGCAAAUGUAGGUAUAAGUAACGAUAAAGGGGGCGGGAAACCCCCUCGCCGAAAGACUAAGGUUUCCUGAUCAACGCUAAUCGGAUCAGGGUCAGUCGGGUCCUAAGGCUCAGCCGAACGGCGAUGCCGAUGGCAGAAACGGUUAAUAUUCCGUUACUACCUUCAGGAGUGACGUGGAGACGCAGUAGUGACAGUGCCGCCAUCUGACGGAAUAGAUGGUUGAAGGGUGUAGGAGUCGAUCAUGGCAGGCAAAUCCACCAUGAGAUCCGAACCUGAUAGUAUGCCGCGUCCUUCGGGACAAGGCAAUAGUGCGCGUAAGCAUGCUGCCGAGAAAAUCCGCUAAACUUAAUCCUGCAGGUACCCGUACCGCAAACGGACACACGUAGUCGGGAUGAAUAUUCUAAGGCGCUUGAGUGAUUCACGGUUAAGGAACUAGGCAAACUGACCCUGUAACUUCGGGAUAAAGGGUCCCUACCCUUUUAUGGGAGGGCGCAGAGAAUCGGUCCAGGCAACUGUUUAACAAAAACACAGGGCUGUGCCAAAUCGAAAGAUCCAGUAUACAGCCUGACACCUGCCCGGUGCUGGAAGGUUAAGAGGAGAUGUCAUCGAUAAGAGAAGCGUUGAAUUGAAGCCCCAGUAAACGGCGGCCGUAACUAUAACGGUCCUAAGGUAGCGAAAUUCCUUGUCGGGUAAGUUCCGACCUGCACGAAUGGUGUAAUGAUCUGGACGCUGUCUCAACCGUGAGCUCAGUGAAAUUGUAGUAUCGGUGAAGAUGCCGAUUACCCGCGAUGGGACGAAAAGACCCCGUGAACCUUUACUAUAGCUUAUCAUUGAAUCUGGGCACGUGAUGUGUAGGAUAGGUCGGAGGCUUUGAAGCAGGUACGCCAGUAUUUGUGGAGCCGCUGUUGAAAUACGACCCUUUAUUUGUUUGGAUUCUAACCCGUGGAACGGGGACAUUGAUUGGUGGGUAGUUUGACUGGGGUGGUCGCCUCCAAAAGCGUAACGGAGGCUUCUAAAGGUGCCCUCCGGCCGAUUGGUAACCGGCCUUAGAGUGUAAUGGCAUAAGGGCGCUUGACUGGGAGACUGACAAGUCGAUCAGGUAGGAAACUAGAGCAUAGUGAUCCGGUGUUUCCGUAUGGAAGGGACAUCGCUCAAAGGAUAAAAGGUACUCCGGGGAUAACAGGCUGAUCCCUCCCAAGAGCUCAUAUCGACGGAGUGGUUUGG